rnacentral:rRNA from 1 species
UACGAAGGGGGCUAGCGUUGUUCGGAAUCACUGGGCGUAAAGCGCACGUAGGCGGACUAUUAAGUCAGGGGUGAAAUCCCGGGGCUCAACCCCGGAACUGCCUUUGAUACUGGUAGUCUCGAGUCCGGAAGAGGUGAGUGGAAUUCCGAGUGUAGAGGUGAAAUUCGUAGAUAUUCGGAGGAACACCAGUGGCGAAGGCGGCUCACUGGUCCGGUACUGACGCUGAGGUGCGAAAGCGUGGGGAGCAAACAGG